GUAGUAUAUAAGAUAUUUGCUUUAUGCGUAAUAUUAUGUUCUAUAUAUUCAUGAGCUGUGUAACCAGAAUUGAUAUGAUUUAUGGUAAUAAUAAUAAUUAUCUUCUCGAGCCUAUAUUCGUGAAGAUCAAUAACUCAAACCCUAGAUAUCGUUAUCUUCUGUAAAUUUAAUGAUUCCGGAAGAUGUUCAUGGUGCCAACUUGAAGUCUGUUUCUCUAGUCAUGAACUAAUUAAUCCUGCAGGAGAUUGAGGUAGUUUAUGGUGUUGAUGAUGAUAACUUGAGGUGGCUAGCUCAAUUGGUGCAAGGUUUGUUGGUGAAGCUUGCAGAUGAAGGGGUAAGUAUAAAGCCGUCUCCAUGCUUUUGCACUUCUAGGCCGUUGUAGGCUGCAGAUGAAGGAGUAAGUAUAAGGCCAACUGUAACUUCUAUGUGUGAGUUUUAUGUUUAUAUCUUUUGUUUUACUGAUUUUGCAAUUCGUUAUCCUGUGUAAGAGCAACAAUAUAACAAAAAGGAGUGUAUUUUUCUUCUAAUUGUGGGUGGUUGACGCACUCAGUCGAUUAGCGUGUUUCCCAGAUCAGAAACCUAAUUGAGCUGAUGUUGUGGCAGGAUCAGCUGCGUGUCUCUUUUGCGUUUGUUCCCAAAGAAGAGAUAGUAUGAUCGCCCGUCAUUCGAACUAACUGCAAUCCAGGUACGUCCAUUGCCUUUUGAACAGCAAACUGCUUGAGUUUUGUUUUAUGAUGGAUAUGUAUUCUGCCAGGCAACUGCUUUUAUUUCCGCUAGAAUUUAGGCGAAACCAACAACUCCUGUUUGAUAAGGUAUGUACAAUUUGCAAAUGUAUCUUCUCUGGGUUAAUGAUUGCCUGAUACGAGCUCGGACUUGCUUUUGAGUUGCCUAGUAUUCUUAUUCAUAAUCCAGCUUCUAAAGCCACCAAAAAACAGACAGGUAAACUCUUCUUAUUUUUGAUGUCAUGACCAAAAAACAGACAGGUAAACUCUUCUUAUUUUUGAUGUCAUGUUUUGGUAGUUGUGGUAUUAACAAUUACUCUCAUUUGCGGUUUUCUUUGUUUAGAAUGAGUCUUCAUUUUCUUAUGUUGCACAUCCCUUAUGUCGAUAUUAUCGAGUCCCUGGCUGCAUAUAGAUCUUUCAUAGUGUAAUUUUUUCUAAGACUACGCCAGGUAUAAGGUACUCUAGUUUUGGUUACUUUUUGCCUGUCCAGAACCAUAUGAAACCUGAAAUUUGUUGUUUAAUUGAUGCACCUAUUGUCAGCAAGCACAGGCUGUUGGGGAGGAGGUGCCAAAUGACAGCUUUUGCGAUCGUGCUUACAGAAAUAUGUUGUGAGUUCAAGACAGUGACCGUAGUUGCCUUGGUUACCAGCACCAGCAGAAAGAAUACUAUUUCCUGCCAAGAGAUUUUUGAAGAAGUCGAAGACUUAGCUCCUGAAAUACAGCUGCUCAAGGCUGUCAGAAGCAUUUGAAAUCUAAUACGCGUGUUCGUUGCGAUUCCUACAGUGAGUAAAAGUUACUGUGGUUUCGUGCUCCUCUGGUAAUGUCGUAGCAAUAAAUUAGUCAUUGGUUUCUUUAAUGGGAAAUAGCAACCGUUGAAGGUCAAAUCGUUGUUAAGUCUGUUCUUGCCAAAGUGGGAAUGCCUCCGUAACUUGAAAUUUCAGCUCUCUGCAUUUAGUUUUGUGUACAUGUGUCCAGGCCUCCUAUGUCGGCUCGUGCAUUUUUAAUACUUGUUAUUUUGCCUCAUUGUGUUUUGUCAGUCACAGCCCAUUUUCAGAUGUGUUCCCAAAGAAAGCAGUGGAGAUCCUUAAUGAAACUGAACUAGAGGAAUAUUCAUCUUAUGACGCACAUUUCUGUCACUUCGGUACAAUCUUUUCAGGUGGUAGGUCUUCUUCGUGAUGAUGUCUUAGAUGAUGCCGAUACAAGGCGUUGUCAUCCUUCUCUUAGUCUUAAUGGGGAAUAAGCUAUUGUCAGCGAACACAGGCUGUUGGAAUCGUACUUGGAGCUAAUACUGUUGACAAUUUAGGCUAAGAAUGUAGUUGACAGUUAAGGCUAACUGCAACAGGAUAAUAGGCGAUGACUCGAGAGUACCCUUAAUAAUAUCCUUCAUGUGAAGAAUCUCUUCUUUCAAGUGCCAAGCCAUCUCCAGAGUUUGGUGGCCUUGUAAAACUUGUUAUUUAUUGACUCAAGUAUGUUGUUCUUCACUGCCUUGUCGUACCUUGGAAGAUGAACUAGCUCCCGGAUUUUUUUGUUUGCAAAGGAAGUUACCGAGUUUGAUCCACAAGGAAAUUUUAUAAACCCCUCUACUUAAUACUGAUCUCAUAAGCCUACUGUUAUUCUAAUGAUUCAGCAUGAAAAUAGUGUGUUCCAUAUGGAUACAAAUAUACAGAUUUUGUAAUUUUGUUUAUUCUUUUAAUUAUAUAGUACUUUUAUUUUU